GACGCAGACGGACACGAAUGUUAAAAUCAGAGACGGCUGGGAGGCUUUUUUCUAAUUCCGGGUUUUGUUUUUUUUUUUAAAGUUCUGAUCAGAAACUCGUCGUGUACCAAUUUUCACAUCAACAUCAUCUACAAAAACAGUGGAAAAGCAAAGCCGAAUCACGUGUUUGUGUGUCUACCUGAGGUCUUUGAUGGACAGCGUUCCUCUGAAGUCCCUCAGGAUCUCCAGCAGGACCCAGGACCAGUAACUUCGGUAGCUAAGCUUCCCCAGAUCAGAGAGCGGCUUCUCCGGAGACCCCACUGUGUUCUCCAGCUUAGACAGCUCAUA